GAUGAACGCUGGCGGCGUGCCUAAUACAUGCAAGUCGAGCGAACAGACGAGGAGCUUGCUCCUCUGACGUUAGCGGCGGACGGGUGAGUAACACGUGGAUAACCUACCUAUAAGACUGGGAUAACUUCGGGAAACCGGAGCUAAUACCGGAUAAUAUAUUGAACCGCAUGGUUCAAUAGUGAAAGACGGUUUUCUGUCACUUAUAGAUGGAUCCGCGCCGCAUUAGCUAGUUGGUAAGGUAACGGCUUACCAAGGCGACGAUGCGUAGCCGACCUGAGAGGGUGAUCGGCCACACUGGAACUGAGACACGGUCCAGACUCCUACGGGAGGCAGCAGUAGGGAAUCUUCCGCAAUGGGCGAAAGCCUGACGGAGCAACGCCGCGUGAGUGAUGAAGGUCUUCGGAUCGUAAAACUCUGUUAUUAGGGAAGAACAAAUGUGUAAGUAACUAUGCACGUCUUGACGGUACCUAAUCAGAAAGCCACGGCUAACUACGUG
rnacentral:rRNA from 1 species